rnacentral:lncRNA from 1 species
CCUCUCAUCUUAUAGAAAAGCCUUGAAGUAGCUUGGUGCAGAUUCUGUGUGAAACAUUAAAAAUAAAGAAGUACAAGCAUGCUUCCUAAACCUAGAGAAGAAAACCAUUUUCUACAUCAAGCCUAUGAUUAGUAUCUGAGCCUUUUAGAGAACCCUCCUUUAAAAGCUAGCUAUGAAGAAGGAAGAACUAAGCCUUUUAAAUUCUCCACCGAGCAUCCCAUACUACUCGACGCAGGACAUGAGCACCCCAUAAUACACAAGUACCUAUCAGCUAAAUUUCUAGAAUAUACAGGACAAACUUGCCCCAACCACAAAUGCAACAGGUCAUGAAAAUAUACUUUCCAUACAAAUAUCAGUUAAAUAAU